rnacentral:rRNA from 1 species
GAUGAACGCUAGCUACAGGCUUAACACAUGCAAGUCGAGAGGCAUCAUGGAGUUUGCUUGCAGACUCUGAUGGCGACCGGCGCACGGGUGCGUAACGCGUAUCGAACCUUCCCCUUACUCGGGAAUAGCCCGGUGAAAACCGAAUUAAUGCCCGAUAUGUAUUUAGAUGGCAUCAGAAGAGUAUGAAAGAUUUAUCGGUAAGGGAUGGCGAUGCGUAGGAUUAGGUAGUCGGCGGGGUAACGGCCCACCAAGCCGACGAUGUCUAGGGGAGCUGAGAGGCUUAUCCCCCACACUGGUACUGAGACACGGACCAGACUCC